rnacentral:rRNA from 1 species
AUUGAACGCUGGCGGCAGGCCUAACACAUGCAAGUCGAGCGGAUGAGAGGAGCUUGCUUCUCGAUUCAGCGGCGGACGGGUGAGUAAUGCCUAGGAAUCUGCCUGGUAGUGGGGACAACGUUUCGAAAGGAACGCUAAUACCGCAUACGUCCUACGGAAGAAAGCAGGGGACCUUCGGGCCUUGCGCGAUCAGAUGAGCCUAGGUCGGAUUAGCUAGUUGGUGAGGUAAUGGCUCACCAAGGCGACGAUCCGUAACUGGUCUGAGAGGAUGAUCAGUCACACUGGAACUGAGACACGGUCCAGACUCCUACGGGAGGCAGCAGUGGGGAAUAUUGGACAAUGGGCGAAAGCCUGAUCCAGCCAUGCCGCGUGUGUGAAGAAGGUCUUCGGAUUGUAAAGCACUUUAAGUUGGGAGGAAGGGUUGUAGAUUAAUACUCUGCAAUUUUGACGUUACCGACAGAAUAAGCACCGGCUAACUCUGUGCCAGCCGCCGCCGUAAUAC